rnacentral:rRNA from 1 species
CAGUCGAGCGGAAACGAGUUAUCUGAACCUUCGGGGGACGAUAACGGCGUCGAGCGGCGGACGGGUGAGUAAUGCCUAGGAAAUUGCCCUGAUGUGGGGGAUAACCAUUGGAAACGAUGGCUAAUACCGCAUGAUGCCUACGGGCCAAAGAGGGGGACCUUCGGGCCUCUCGCGUCAGGAUAUGCCUAGGUGGGAUUAGCUAGUUGGUGAGGUAAGGGCUCACCAAGGCGACGAUCCCUAGCUGGUCUGAGAGGAUGAUCAGCCACACUGGAACUGAGACACGGUCCAGACUCCUACGGGAGGCAGCAGUGGGGAAUAUUGCACAAUGGGCGCAAGCCUGAUGCAGCCAUGCCGCGUGUGUGAAGAAGGCCUUCGGGUUGUAAAGCACUUUCAGUCGUGAGGAAGGUAGUGUAGUUAAUAGCUGCAUUAUUUGACGUUAGCGACAGAAGAAGCACCGGCUAACUCCGUGCCAGCAGCCGCGGUAAUACGGAGGGUGCGAGCGUUAAUCGGAAUUACUGGGCGUAAAGCGCAUGCAGGUGGUUUGUUAAGUCAGAUGUGAAAGCCCGGGGCUCAACCUCGGAAUAGCAUUUGAAACUGGCAGACUAGAGUACUGUAGAGGGGGGUAGAAUUUCAGGUGUAGCGGUGAAAUGCGUAGAGAUCUGAAGGAAUACCGGUGGCGAAGGCGGCCCCCUGGACAGAUACUGACACUCAGAUGCGAAAGCGUGGGGAGCAAACAGGAUUAGAUACCCUGGUAGUCCACGCCGUAAACGAUGUCUACUUGGAGGUUGUGGCCUUGAGCCGUGGCUUUCGGAGCUAACGCGUUAAGUAGACCGCCUGGGGAGUACGGUCGCAAGAUUAAAACUCAAAUGAAUUGACGGGGGCCCGCACAAGCGGUGGAGCAUGUGGUUUAAUUCGAUGCAACGCGAAGAACCUUACCUACUCUUGACAUCCAGAGAACUUUCCAGAGAUGGAUUGGUGCCUUCGGGAACUCUGAGACAGGUGCUGCAUGGCUGUCGUCAGCUCGUGUUGUGAAAUGUUGGGUUAAGUCCCGCAACGAGCGCAACCCUUAUCCUUGUUUGCCAGCGAGUAAUGUCGGGAACUCCAGGGAGACUGCCGGUGAUAAACCGGAGGAAGGUGGGGACGACGUCAAGUCAUCAUGGCCCUUACGAGUAGGGCUACACACGUGCUACAAUGGCGCAUACAGAGGGCGGCCAACUUGCGAAAGUGAGCGAAUCCCAAAAAGUGCGUCGUAGUCCGGAUUGGAGUCUGCAACUCGACUCCAUGAAGUCGGAAUCGCUAGUAAUCGUGGAUCAGAAUGCCACGGUGAAUACGUUCCCGGGCCUUGUACACACCGCCCGUCACACCAUGGGAGUGGGCUGCAAAAGAAGUAGGUAGUUUAACCUUCGGGGGG